UACGUAGGGUGCGAGCGUUAAUCGGAAUUACUGGGCGUAAAGCGUGCGCAGGCGGUUUUGUAAGCCUGAUGUGAAAUCCCCGGGCUUAACCUGGGAAUGGCAUUCGGGACUGCAAGGCUGGAGUGCGGCAGAGGAGACUGGAAUUCCUGGUGUAGCAGUGAAAUGCGUAGAUAUCAGGAGGAACACCGAUGGCGAAGGCAGGUCUCUGGGCUGACACUGACGCUCAUGCACGAAAGCGUGGGGAGCAAACAGG
rnacentral:rRNA from 1 species